UACGUAGGUCCCGAGCGUUGUCCGGAUUUAUUGGGCGUAAAGCGAGCGCAGGUGGUUUAUUAAGUCUGGUGUAAAAGGCAGUGGCUCAACCAUUGUAUGCAUUGGAAACUGGUAGACUUGAGUGCAGGAGAGGAGAGUGGAAUUCCAUGUGUAGCGGUGAAAUGCGUAGAUAUAUGGAGGAACACCGGUGGCGAAAGCGGCUCUCUGGACUGUAACUGACACUGAGGCACGAAAGCGUGGGGAGCAAACAGG
rnacentral:rRNA from 1 species